UCAAGACUUCUAGGGGUGAAUGAAAACCGAAGCUUACAUUUCAAGAUCGCGUUUGUUUGAAGCAGGAAGCCGGGGAUAACUUAUGUGGAUACUUUCGCGAGAUGGUGUGUCACCGGGAGGCGGAAAAGGCUAUACAUGCCCUUCAUAUGGAACGCAUGCGGGACACUCUCCUAACAGUGGAUCGCUUACGAGCAAUUCAAGAGGAAUUGGCGAGAUUCUAAGUUAGAGAGGUCAUAGCUCCAACUAGAGCAUACCAUCGGGAGUUAAUAUUUGACAUUAUGGAUAGAAAAUAGAGAUGCUGAGAUGGUAAAGAGGAUCGACUCUAUAUUAUAACUAUGCAUUA